rnacentral:rRNA from 1 species
UGGGGGAUAUUGCACAAUGGGCGCAAGCCUGAUGCAGCCAUGCCGCGUGUAUGAAGAAGGCCUUCGGGUUGUAAAGUACUUUCAGCGGGGAGGAAGGGAGUAAAGUUAAUACCUUUACUCAUUGACGUUACCCGCAGAAGAAGCACCGGCUAACUCCGUGCCAGCAGCCGCGGUAAUACGGAGGGUGCAAGCGUUAAUCGGAAUUACUGGGCGUAAAGCGCACGCAGGCGGUUUGUUAAGUCAGAUGUGAAAUCCCCGGGCUCAACCUGGGAACUGCAUCUGAUACUGGCAAGCUUGAGUCUCGUAGAGGGGGGUAGAAUUCCAGGUGUAGCGGUGAAAUGCGUAGAGAUCUGGAGGAAUACCGGUGGCGAAGGCGGCCCCCUGGACGAAGACUGACGCUCAGGUGCGAAAGCGUGGGGAGCAAACAGG